CCCCCAUGGCCUCUCAGUCUCUGGCCGGGUCCCUGGGCUACGCUCCCACCCUCACCCACCACGAGCCCUCCCUGUGACCUCGUCUUUACAGUCUGGGAAACAUGCCGACCACAAAGGGCAUGGAUUUCUUUACUUACUGGCCCCUUCCCGGGCGCAGAAUCAGCAGAGACAAGUGGUCCCUGCCGUCAUAGAGCUGGCAUCCUGGUGGGCAGAGACAGGCAGCAAACAAACGCUUACAUACACAAAGAAGAUAAUUUCAGAGAGUAAUAAGUGCUAGGAAGAAAACUAGCAGGUGAAGUGAGGAAUAGGGGCUACUUAGCUGGGUGUGAGAGGAGGAGGCCCAGUGAGUGUGGAACUGACUGCCAGGAAGGAACCUGCCACGUAGAGCUGGGAAGACCCUUCCUGGCCAAGGGAAGAGCAAGUGCAAAGGCCCUGAGGCAAGAGAAAGCUUGAUGCCUAACCAGCAACUGGUGGAGCAGUGGACAUGCUGAGGGCAGAGCCAUGUGGGGGCCAAGGUCUUCAGGGCUCCAGAGCCUGGUGGGAAUCUGAAUGCAAUUCCAGGGCCAUUGGCAGAGCUUAAGCAGAGGAAUAGUGAAUGAAUGAGUGAAUGAACCUGCUGUGAACUUACAGACUCACUAAUAACUGCCACCCCAAGGCUUCCACUCUGCACAGCUCAGGCAGAACGCCUCCCAUUCCCACCCAGCCUCUGUUGGGGUCUGUUGGUCCUAUGAGUGCAGGAGGGGUGUCAAGGUGUCAGAGCUCCCAGGUGACCUGGACUGGGGGCAAGUUCCCCUACAGAACCUCUGCUUCCUCCUCUGUAAGGUAAGGCAGUGCAGGGGACACGGUGCCCUUGCUCUGCGACAGGACUGUACCCCUCCACACAUUGUCCAUUUGACCUGACAGCCCCUCUGUGAGGCAGACGGUCACAUUUUGUUCAUGAGGAAACAGGCACAGAGUGGUGGUCAUCUGUCCAGGGUCUCAGGCUAACAUGAUAGAGCCCUGCACCCAGAGCCCUUCCCACCAGCUCAGCCACCCACCACCCAGGGUGAUGUUAAGGGCCAGACAAAAGCGGGGUCAGAGGGUGAGCGGCAUUGUUUCAAGCUAGUUUUAAGCACAGCUUCUCGGAGAGACAGACCUGGUUUCUAAGUCCGGCUCCUCUGUGCCCAGCUGGGUGGCUUUGGAAAAACCAGUUCACUUGCUAAGCUUCAGUCCCGUCUGUAAAAUGGGAGUAAUCAUAGCAGCUCCUUCCUGGGGUCUCCGGGAGGGCUGAAUGAGGAAAGGCGUGUGGAGCAUUUAGCCCAGAGCCAGAGGCUGUGAAUACUGUUGGUGCUUCAGGUCACAGGCCAGACGAGUGGGGACGGUCCCUUUCACACAUCUGAGGCCUUCUAGCCCCUGCCGUGUCCAGUGUCUGGGGAGGGCCUAGGCAAGACCUGCACCAGGCACCUCAGCGGCUGCGAGAAGAGGGGCUUCCCUGGGGGAGGAUACUAACAACUGCCUUUUGGGAGCAGCCGGUGUGCGUGUAUGGGAGUCCUAGGGCAGCCGUGACAAGUGACCACAGAUUCAGUGGCUUACAGCAGCGCGGAUUUGUUCUGUACAGUUCUGGUGGUCGGAUGUCCCAAACCAGCGUCAACGGGCUGAGGUCAAGGUGUCGGCAGGGCUGCACCUCUGAAGGCUCCCGGGGAGAGUCCUGCCUGUUCCAGCUUCUGGAGGCCACCUGCAUUUCGUACCUUGUGACCCCUUGGCGACCUCUGGAAGCCAGAAAAGGCAAAGAAAUAAUGGCUUCUGUUGUCACAUCCUCUGCUCCCUCCCUUACCUUCUUGCCUCCUCUUACAGGUCCCUGUGAUUCCUUCAGGGCCCCUGGAAUCCAGGAGACUCUCCCAUCUCAAGAGCCUUAAUUUCAUCACACCUGCAAGACUCUCCGCCCCCUCCUUUGUUUUUUUUUUUUGCCACAUAAAGGAGCAUUGAUGGGUUCUAGAGAUGAGGACCCGGAUAUCUUUGUGAGCCAUUGUUCAGCAGCACACUCCAUGCCUUCUCUUAACUCUCCCUCAUCAUCACUCAUUUUACAGAUGAAAGAAUCUAGGCUCAGAGAGAAACCUCUGACCGUCCUUCCUGGGCCCUUGGAGGACUAACUCCUUCCUCACAGUCUGCACCAUGUACCCUGUGCUCUUCAGGCCGCUAAGUCUGGGGACGUUCAGUCACUUUGUGAAACGCCACGUUGUCCUUCACGCUGGGGGUUCUCGUUCCUGAGGCGGGCUGACGCAGCCGGACAGGGCCUCGACAUGUCCACCACCGUGUGCGGGACCCAGGGGUUCUCCGACAUCCCUCCCAGCAACUUCGAGAAAUUCUACGACUUUGGCAAGAUGUGAAGAAGGCCUUUGUCACCGACUUGCAUAAGUGAACCUGAUAGAAAUUCCAACGCUAAACUGGGUGGGAAGGUUGCAGCGGGAGCUAAGUUUGUAAAUGGCCAGGACAGUAGCAAAUGUGGUCGUGUUUUUACAGCUUUUACUGCCAACACGGAUAACCAGUGUGCGGCUGCUGGGGCCCCGUUGUCAGAAUUAGCUGGAUCAGCCCAGGACUGGUUGCAUCAGAGUUAUGUUAGGGAAGGGCAGAUUUCCACUCGUCUCAGCCAUUGUGUGUCUCCGUUACAGAGCCUUUGUUCCACCUCAGACACUUUGGCUUUUGGUGGUAAUAACACCUUGAUUUUCCUGGGGAGGGGGGCUGUUCCUUCCCACUUUCAGCCCAUGUGGUUCAGCCUCCACCAACACUACCUCUGGGUUGCAGAGAUGCUCGUGUGAUUCUGGUUUUAUCAAUCAAAGUGCCCCAUUUACCUGGCCACAGUGAUGGACCCAAGGAUGGCCACAUGAUCCAAGCCCUCUGGCAGUUUUGCUAGAAGCCUUGAGCAUUGCUGGAACCUCCAGGGGGUGCUAAGCUGGUUAGUUGUGGACCUGAGAAUAAAGUCAGUCUUAUAGGAAAGCAGUGCGGAACCACACACAGAGACACCAGCUGGGCACCUGGAUCCAGCUAUGCCUGAAGCUCAGACACUCUGGACUUUCAAUUACACACAAGCCAAUAAAUUGACCUGUUUGCA